CAGUGGAGAAAGAGAAGAGAACCCCACCUUUAAUGUGGUGAUCCUGACUCGUUCAUUUCCAACCUGGUUUCUUCUCCAUGGCUCACAUGCCUAUUUCCAGGGCUGGGUGCCGUAGGACAUGCUCCAAUAGCACAAUGACCUGUGUCUCUGCACCCUCAUGUCCCCAGCAAUCAAAAAUGAUGCUUAAUAUGUCACAGCUUAUGAUUGUGACCCCCUGUGGACAAUUUCUGGAGCAGGACCUUGCAUUUGCAGGCUGAAGUGGGACCCAAGAAGGCAGUUGGAGGAGCAGAGAGAUGCCAGAAUACAGUAAAGAAAGUGUUACCAUAUUCUGUUAUUAAAGAAGACAUUGGGUCUACUGGAGUUGAGAAUUACGAAGAUAUAACAUGAAGUCAUAUAGAAAUCAUACAG